UACGUAGGUGGCAAGCGUUGUCCGGAAUUAUUGGGCGUAAAGCGCGCGCAGGCGGUCCUUUAAGUCUGAUGUGAAAGCCCACGGCUCAACCGUGGAGGGUCAUUGGAAACUGGGGGACUUGAGUACAGAAGAGAAGAGUGGAAUUCCACGUGUAGCGGUGAAAUGCGUAGAGAUGGGGGAGAACACUCGUGGCGAAGGCGGCCAGCUAGACCAGUUCUGACACUGAGGCGCGACAGCGUGGGGAGCAAACAGG
rnacentral:rRNA from 1 species